UUUCAAUGUCUUCAUCAUCAGAGGAGAUUAAGUUGGUGCCGUACUGGACCAGAGUUCCUCCAUAUCCAGUGUUUCCAAAUCAGCAGAGAUUUCCCCCAAUCCAGGUUUUUCCAUAUCAGCGGAGAGUUCCCCUACUGAUGUUUCCAUGGUGUCCAUGUCCGCCAAGAUAUUUCAUCUACCUCCCUCCCACAACUACAACCCCGCCUCCAACAACAACCCCAGCUCCACCUCCUCCACCACCAACAACUACAACCACAUCUCCAACAACAACCCUAGCUCCACCUCCUCCACCAACAACCCCAGGUAUACCACCAACAACCACAAUUACGCCAACAACAACAACUACCACAACAACCCCACCUCCACCUCCUCCAACCCCAGGUAUACCCCCAACACCAACAACCACAACUACAACCAAGCCUCCAACUACCACAACCACGCCAACAACAACAACAACAACUACCACAACAACCCCACCUCCACCUCCUCCUCCAACAACCCCAGGUAUACCCCCACCACCACCAACUACAACCACCACCACUAGGAGAGGAGAUAACUGACCUACACUACAAGUCUAGGCCAAAAAAAAAACAAGAAGAUUGAUUUCAGAUGUUUCUAUGGUAUCCAUGUCUGACAAGAUAAUUCCACCACAUCCCUCCCACAACUACAACCUUCCUGAUACAACUAAAACCACGCCUCCACCAACAUCCCCAGGUGUACCUCCACCAUCAUUAACUACAAUUACAACCUUACCUCCAACAACAACUCCAGCUCCACCUCCUCCACCAACAACCCCAGGUGUACCUCCACCACCAUUAACUACAAUUACAACCUUACCUCCAACAACAACUCCAGCUCUACCUUUUCCACCAACAACCCCAGGUAUAUCCCCACCACCAACAACCACAACUACAACCACGCCUCCAACAACUAUAACCACGCCAAUAACAACCACCACCACAACAACACCAGCCCGCCUCCUCCUCCAACAACCCCAGGUAUACCCCCACCCCCAACAACCACAACUACAACCACGCCUCCAACAACUAUAACCACGCCAAUAACAACAACCACCACAACAACACCAGCCCGCCUCCUCCUCCAACAACCCCAGGUAUACCCCCACCCCCAACAACCACAACUACAACCACGCCUCCAACAACUAUAACC
rnacentral:lncRNA from 1 species